AUUGAACGCUGGCGGCAGGCCUAACACAUGCAAGUCGGACGGUAGCACAGAGAGCUUGCUCUCGGGUGACGAGUGGCGGACGGGUGAGUAAUGUCUGGGGAUCUGCCCGAUGGAAGGGGAUAACCACUGGAAACGGUGGCUAAUACCGCAUAACGUCGCAAGACCAAAGAGGGGGACCUUCGGGCCUCUCACUAUCGGAUGAACCCAGAUGGGAUUAGCUAGUAGGCGGGGUAACGGCCCACCUAGGCGACGAUCCCUAGCUGGUCUGGGAGGAGGACCAGCCACACUGGAACUGAGACACGGUCCAGACUCCUACGGGAGGCAGCAGUGGGGAAUAUUGCACAAUGGGCGCAAGCCUGAUGCAGCCAUGCCGCGUGUAUGAAGAAGGCCUUCGGGUUGUAAAGUACUUUCAGCGGGGAGGAAGGCGAUAUGGUUAAUAACCGCAUUGAUUGACGUUACCCGCAGAAGAAGCACCGGCUAACUCCGUGCCAGCCGCCGCCGUAA
rnacentral:rRNA from 1 species